rnacentral:tRNA from 1 species
AUUCAAAUAGCUUAUUUAGAGUUUAAUAUUGAAGAUAUUAAGGAAGUUUUAAAACUUUUGAAUA